GCGGAAGUAGUUCAGUGGUAGAACACCACCUUGCCAAGGUGGGGGUCGCGGGUUCAAGUCCCGUCUUCCGCUCCA
rnacentral:tRNA from 2 species